GCCUUUGUAGUGUAGUGGUCAGCACGCUCGACGAGUAACCGAGAGGUCCGUGGUUCGUUUUCCAGCGAAGGCG
rnacentral:tRNA from 1 species